rnacentral:tRNA from 1 species
GGGGGUGUAGCUCAGAUGGGAGAGCGCGUGGAUCGCACCCACGAGGUCAGGGGUUCGAAUCCCCUCACCUCCACCA